CAGUCGCCGCGGUAAUACGUAGGUGGCAAGCGUUGUCCGGAAUUAUUGGGCGUAAAGCGCGCGCAGGCGGAUCAGUCAGUCUGUCUUAAAAGUUCGGGGCUUAACCCCGUGAUGGGAUGGAAACUGCUGAUCUAGAGUAUCGGAGAGGAAAGUGGAAUUCCUAGUGUAGCGGUGAAAUGCGUAGAUAUUAGGAAGAACACCAGUGGCGAAGGCGACUUUCUGGACGAAAACUGACGCUGAGGCGCGAAAGCCAGGGGAGCGAACGGGAUUAGAUACCCGGGUAGUCCCUGUCUCUUAUACA
rnacentral:rRNA from 1 species